AAACCUGCGGGUCCCCGUACCCCCGGGGCCGGGGAUGAGUUAGCGAGGGCAGCCGCGGGGGCCAGUUCCGACUGCUGCAGGCCACCGCCACGGUCGCCGCCCGCCCGCCCCUUCCCUGCCGGAGCUGCUAGCUCCUUUCCGCGCCCGGCCGCCCGCCCGCCCGCGCUCCCGGCCCCGGAGACCAUGAGGUUCCGCAUCUAUAAGCGGAAGGUGCUGAUCUUGAUGCUCGUGGUGGCCGCCUGCGGCUUCGUCCUCUGGAGCAGCAAUGGGCGACAAAGGAAGAACGAGGCCCUCGCCCCGCCGCUGCUGGACGUCGAUCCCGCGCGGGGUGCGGGCGCCCGGGCCGGGGACCAGCUCGCCGUGUCGGUGGGCAUCCGCCAGGGCUCCAACGAGUCGGCGGCUCCGCUGGUCGCCGCUGCCCCGCAGCCCGAGGUGGACAAUCUGACGCUGCGGUACCGGUCCCUGGUGUACCAGCUGAACUUUGACCAGACGCUGAGGAAUGUAGAUAAGGCCGGCUCCUGGACCCCCCCACCCCGAGAGCUGGCGCUGGUGGUCCAGGUGCACAACCGGCCCGAAUACCUCAAACUGCUGCUGGACUCACUUCGAAAAGCCCAGGGAAUUGACGACGUCCUCGUCAUCUUUAGCCAUGACUUCUGGUCGACCGAAAUCAAUCAGCUGAUUGCUGGGGUGGAUUUCUGUCCAGUUCUGCAGGUGUUCUUUCCUUUCAGCAUUCAGUUGUACCCUAACGAGUUCCCGGGCACUGACCCUAGAGAUUGCCCCAGAGACGUGGAGAAGAAUGCAGCUUUGCGGAUGGGAUGCAUUAAUGCUGAAUAGCCCGACUCCUUCGGCCAUUAUAGAGAGGCCAAGUUCUCCCAAACCAAACACCACUGGUGGUGGAAGCUGCAUUUUGUAUGGGAGAGGGUCAAAGUCCUUCGAGACUGUGCUGGCCUCAUACUUUUCCUAGAGGAGGAUCACUACUUAGCCCCAGACUUUUACCAUGUCUUCAAAAAGAUGUGGAAAUUAAAGCAGCUAGAGUGCCCCGAGUGUGAUGUUCUCUCCCUGGGGACCUAUACUGCCAUUCGAAAUUUCUAUGACGUGGCUGACAAGGUAGAUGUGAAAACGUGGAAAUCCACAGAGCACAAUAUGGGUCUGGCCCUGACCCGGGAAGCCUAUCAGAAGCUGAUUGAGUGCACAGACACUUUCUGUACUUAUGAUGAUUAUAACUGGGACUGGACCCUUCAAUAUUUGACUGUAUCUUGUCUUCCAAAAUUCUGGAAAGUGCUGGUUCCUCAAGUUCCUAGGAUUUUUCAUGCUGGAGACUGUGGUAUGCAUCACCAAAAAACUUGUAGACCAGCCACCCAGAGUGCCCAACUUGAGUCACUCUUAAAUAAUAACAAACAGUACCUGUUUCCAGAAACUCUAACUAUCAGUGAGAAGUUUAUGACAGCCCUUUCCCCACCUAGGAAAAAUGGAGGGUGGGGAGAUAUUAGGGACCAUGAACUCUGUAAAAGUUAUAGAAGACUGCAGUAAGAAAAAAAACAAAACAAAAUCAGAAUUAUAAAAGCAAAAGUAGUAACAGUCUUCUAUUUUUGAUAUUUGUUCAAAUAGGAUAUACAAUUGAAUAAAAAGGUUUAGGAACUGGUUUCUGCUUUACUACAACAACAAAAUUCUUGUAAAAGUUGUCCAAAUAUAGUCAUCUUUUCUGUUUAUGCCUAAGAUUUAAAAUGCAAGUUUUCAUUUUGAGAAUUGCGUUUUAAAGUUCAGUAUGUAUCUGCUAGAGGUAAAAUUAUCGUUAAUUGAUAAGAGAGAAGAGGGGAAACUAUUUAAAUUGCAUCUAUUAAUCUUUUUAUCUGGAACUUUGUACACCUUUCCACUUUCAAGACUUAUUUUAAGUACAGCAAAAUUUAUUUAAAAUCGUCAUAUCAGUAAAAAGUAUUACAGUGAAAUUAAGAGUAUUAAUGUACAAGCCCAGCUUCACUCUUGACACAGUAACUAGGAAGAGGUUGCUUCAGUGGUUUUAUAAUUAGAAAGUUAUGUUUGUUAAACACCCUGUCAGAACAGAGUCAUUUUCAGUAUUAAAGAUUCCUGUAUUAUUGUGUUAAGAAUUGCCUGUGCUCUGGAACCUGCAUAGAACAUACUUUCUUUUGGAAUGUAUUUGACUGAUAAGAAAGUUUAAACACUUUUCACCUCAAUGUAGAAAUACAGUGAUUUUUUUUUUUCUUUUAGUGCUGCCAAAAUAAAAUACUUGUUUUUGCAUUAAAAAAAAAAA